AUUGAACGCUGGCGGCAGGCCUAACACAUGCAAGUCGAGCGGGGGUAGCAAUACCCUAGCGGCGAACGGGUGAGGAAUGCUUGGGAAUCUGCCUGGUAGAGGGGGAUAACGUUCCGAAAGGAACGCUAAUACCGCAUACGUCCUACGGGAGAAAGGGGGGGACCUUCGGACCUCUCGCUAUCAGAUGAGCCCAAGCGGGAUUAGCUAGUUGGUGAGGUAAAGGCUCACCAAGGCGACGAUCCCUAGCUGGUCUGAAAGGAUGAUUCGCCACACUGGAACUGAGACACGGUCCAGACUCCUACGGGAGGCAGCAGUGCGGAAUAUUGGACAAUGGGCGAAAGCCUGAUCCAGCCAUGCCGCGUGUGUGAGGAAGGCCUUCGGGUUGUAAAGCACUUUAAGCGAGGAGGAAGGUUCGUCACCUAAUACGUGACGGAAUUGACGUUACUCGCAGAAUAAGCACCGGCUAACCCUGUGCCAGCCGCCGCAGUAACAC
rnacentral:rRNA from 1 species